rnacentral:rRNA from 1 species
UGGGGAAUCUUGGACAAUGGGGCAACCCUGAUCCAGCCAUGCCGCGUGAGUGAUGAAGGCCUUAGGGUCGUAAAGCUCUUUCGCCUGUGAAGAUAAUGACGGUAGCAGGUAAAGAAACCCGGCUAACUCCGUGCCAGCAGCCGCGGUAAUACGGAGGGGGUUAGCGUUGUUCGGAAUUACUGGGCGUAAAGCGCACGUAGGCGGACCAGAAAGUUGGGGGUGAAAUCCCGGGGGGCUCAACCCCGGAACUGCCUCCAAAACUAUUGGUCUAGAGUUCGAGAGAGGUGAGUGGAAUUCCAAGUGUAGAGGUGAAAUUCGUAGAUAUUUGGAGGAACACCAGUGGCGAAGGCGGCUCACUGGCUCGAUACUGACGCUGAGGUGCGAAAGUGUGGGGAGCAAACAGGAUUAGAUACCCUGGUAGUCCACACCGUAAAACGAUGAAUGCCAGUCGUCGGGUAGCAUGCUAUUCGGUGACACACCUAAC